CCUGUCAUCGUCUAGUGGUUAGGACACCAGGUUUUGAGAUUGUCCACGUGCUAUCUUGUGAUCCAGAGGGUUCCCUGGGGAAGGCUACCACCCUGGCAGUUCGUGAGAAUCUCCUGGUAACUUGGGUUCGACUCCCAAUGACAGGU